rnacentral:rRNA from 1 species
GAUGAACGCUGGCGGCGUGCCUAAUACAUGCAAGUCGAGCGAACGGACGAGAAGCUUGCUUCUCUGACGUUAGCGGCGGACGGGUGAGUAACACGUGGAUAACCUACCUAUAAGACUGGGAUAACUUCGGGAAACCGGAGCUAAUACCGGAUAAUAUUUUGAACCGCAUGGUUCAAAAGUGAAAGACGGUCUUGCUGUCACUUAUAGAUGGAUCCGCGCUGCAUUAGCUAGUUGGUAAGGUAACGGCUUACCAAGGCAACGAUGCAUAGCCGACCUGAGAGGGUGAUCGGCCACACUGGAACUGAGACACGGUCCAGACUCCUACGGGAGGCAGCAGUAGGGAAUCUUCCGCAAUGGGCGAAAGCCUGACGGAGCAACGCCGCGUGAGUGAUGAAGGUCUUCGGAUCGUAAAACUCUGUUAUUAGGGAAGAACAUAUGUGUAAGUAACUGUGCACGUCUUGACGGUACCUAAUCAGAAAGCCACGGCUAACUACGUG